ACACACUCACAUACACACACAAUGCUACGCGGCACCUACCAGGCGGGCAGCCUCGGCCCAGAUCUGCAAUUCAGAUUUGGCUUUGUAAGUGCAAAACCUCAGAAUCCUAUGGAAGAGGGAGUCCGUGUUUAUGUCAUCUCACAUGGGAGAGAAGGACUACACCUCUGAGCUGUCUUCUGUACCGACACACACCUGCUUGCACCUGCUUGCCAAGGGCAACAAAGAAAUAUUUGAAUUGUUUCCUGGUAAUAGGUUACUUUCCUGACACCAAAUAGUUUGGGCAGCUUUCUGCUAGCUGCCAUUGACUAUCUGCAUGCAUCUGAAACUUUUAGAUAAUAGCAGACAAUAGCACAAAUAUGAAGAGAAGUAGUUUAUUAACAAGCACGAAUUUCUGAAAAUGAAGGAAAAUAUGAUGAUGCAGUAUUGGUGAUAAGCAGCAGAGGGCAUUUCUCAAAUGCACUGAUGCAAAAGAAUAAAAAAAUAAAUAAAUCAGUCUGGAGGCAUCUCAUUGUGUGUUUUGUACAGAUUCUUGCUGUAGAUGUGAGGGAUUUGCUGUUCCUUUAUGGCUAUGGGAACACCCUUCAGUUCUAGCACAACAUAUGCGAUAGCCCGGUCAAUAAACAAUUCCAGUGUAGGUGUCUUGUAUUAGAUACUGCCAUUUAUCUCCUUUUCUCCUCAGUUUAACAGAUGAAUCUGUGAAUGCUUGGAACAGCCCUGCUGAUUUCAGGGGUUCUUGCUUGGGCACAAUGCCUUCACAAUCAGCGACAGUUUAUGUAAUCACUUCUACUGGCUAUCUAAACCUAAAAAUUGUAAAAGACAAAUGAAAGUUGAACAAAGUACUUCUUAAAAUGACAGUACUUUGUUACUAUCAGUGAAAAUUGAUGUGCUGUAGUCUGGGGCAGAGACCAAUUUCUGGCAGCGCAUUUGCAAUGUAGCUUCUACAUCAGUCAGUGGUCCAUAAGCAUCAUAAUGCUGAUGAUAUAAAUACCUAAGAUAAAAUUUUGGACAUUUGACUUAAAUGUCCUUGAAAAGUACCUAAACAUUAUGUUACAAAAUUAUACAAAUAUCACACAAGAAACCAAGAGCUUUAAUUAGAAACAGACUAGUCAGAACAAUGAGGUUAAAAAUCAGAACAUUUGGUAUUUGAUUUCUUCAGUCUUCCUCUAGUUGCUUCUUUUUGUUGUUUUUUUUUAGUGGGAUUUUUCAGAUAAACUUAUGCCCACACAAGGGCAUCCUAAAUUGUGUUCAUGUGAGUCAUCCAUUUCUUACAGCCCAGCUAUUUAGGUACAGGUCAUUGUAUAAUCAAACCUUUAAGAAAUAAAGAAAAAUAAACUUUA